CCUACGGGAGGCAGCAGUAGGGAAUAUUGCUCAAUGGGGGAAACCCUGAAGCAGCAACGCCGCGUGUGGGAUGAAGGUUUUCGGAUUGUAAACUCCUUUUGUUAGAGAAGAUAAUUACGGUAUCUAACGGAUAAGCACCGGCUAACUCCGUGCCAGCAGCCGCGGUAAUACGGAGGGUGCAAGCGUUACUCGGAAUCAAUGGGCGUAAAGGGCGCGUAGGCGGGAUAGCAAGGCAGAUGUGAAAUCCUAUGGCUUAACCAUAGAACUGCAUUUGAAACUGUUAUUCUAGAGUAUGGGAGAGGUAGGUGGAAUUCUUGGUGUAGGGGUAAAAUCCGUAGAGAUCAAGAGGAAUACCCAUGGCGAAGGCGACCUGCUAGAACAUAACUGACGCUGAGGCGCGAAAGCGUGGGGAGCAAACAGGAUUAGAUACCCUUGUAGUC
rnacentral:rRNA from 1 species